AAAAGCCGAAAUCUUAAAAAUUGUUUAGAAAUUUUAUCUGAAUAACCCAAAAUAAUACCUAGAAGUCCGCCCAUGAGUAAUUUGAACUAGGCUUGGCUAUCGGUUUGGUUCGGGUUGAAACUGACGGUUCAAGUCUUAGGGAGGGAGUGAACCAGAAUCAGACUAGAUCAGUUCGGUUCUAGCCAGUUUUGGUCCAAUUUUAGUCCUAUUCAAAAAUGGUUAUAAUUUUUAUUUUUUAUUGUUUUAGUUCCAAUUAAAAAAAUGAUUCAAUCCACAUGAAGCCCUCUAAAGCUGCCACCUAUUU
rnacentral:misc_RNA from 1 species